GUUCUUUGCUUGCUGUUGCCUAUGGGAAAUCUAUAACGCUUUGGGAUUCAGACCUGAACACUUUAAAAGGCUCCUUCUGUUAUGUUCCUCCGGGGCAAACUAUCAGACAACUCAAGUUCAUACGGGCAGCUCCUUAUAUUGUUUCUAUUACCGAGUCCAUGUGUUACGUGUGGAACUUAUUAACUUGUUCGGUUUGGUGGAGUUGUGAACUGCACGCUACACGACUUAUCUCUAGUUUUCAGAACAGCGCAUUUGCAGUAUCUGCGUAUAUUUCUCCUUCGAAA